rnacentral:rRNA from 1 species
GACGAACGCUGGCGGCGUGCUUAACACAUGCAAGUCGAACGGAAAGGCCCUGCUUUUGUGGGGUGCUCGAGUGGCGAACGGGUGAGUAACACGUGAGUAACCCGCCCUUGACCUUGGGAUAACUUCAGGAAACUGGGGCUAAUACCGGAUAGGAGCUCCUGCUGCAUGGUGGGGGUUGGAAAGUUUCGGCGGUUGGGGAUGGACUCGCGGCUUAUCAGCUUGUUGGUGGGGUAGUGGCUUACCAAGGCUUUGACGGGUAGCCGGCCUGAGAGGGUGACCGGCCACAUUGGGACUGAGAUACGGCCCAGACUCCUACGGGAGGCAGCAGUGGGGAAUAUUGCACAAUGGGCGGAAGCCUGAUGCAGCAACGCCGCGUGCGGGAUGACGGCCUUCGGGUUGUAAACCGCUUUCGCCUGUGACGAAGCGUGAGUGACGGUAAUGGGUAAAGAAGCACCGGCUAACUACGUGCCAGCAGCCGCGGUGAUACGUAGGGUGCGAGCGUUGUCCGGAUUUAUUGGGCGUAAAGGGCUCGUAGGUGGUUGAUCGCGUCGGAAGUGUAAUCUUGGGGCUUAACCCUGAGCGUGCUUUCGAUACGGGUUGACUUGAGGAAGGUAGGGGAGAAUGGAAUUCCUGGUGGAGCGGUGGAAUGCGCAGAUAUCAGGAGGAACACCAGUGGCGAAGGCGGUUCUCUGGGCCUUUCCUGACGCUGAGGAGCGAAAGCGUGGGGAGCGAACAGGCUUAGAUACCCUGGUAGUCCACGCUGUAAACGGUGGGUACUAGGUGUGGGGUCCAUUCCACGGGUUCCGUGCCGUAGCUAACGCUUUAAGUACCCCGCCUGGGGAGUACGGCCGCAAGGCUAAAACUCAAAGGAAUUGACGGGGCCCCGCACAAGCGGCGGAGCAUGCGGAUUAAUUCGAUGCAACGCGUAGAACCUUACCUGGGUUUGACAUGGAUCGGGAGUGCUCAGAGAUGGGUGUGCCUCUUUUGGGGUCGGUUCACAGGUGGUGCAUGGCUGUCGUCAGCUCGUGUCGUGAGAUGUUGGGUUAAGUCCCGCAACGAGCGCAACCCUUGUUCACUGUUGCCAGCACGUUAUGGUGGGGACUCAGUGGAGACCGCCGGGGUCAACUCGGAGGAAGGUGGGGAUGACGUCAAGUCAUCAUGCCCCUUAUGUCCAGGGCUUCACGCAUGCUACAAUGGCUGGUACAGAGAGUGGCGAGCCUGUGAGGGUGAGCGAAUCUCGGAAAGCCGGUCUCAGUUCGGAUUGGGGUUUGCAACUCGACCUCAUGAAGUCGGAGUCGCUAGUAAUCGCAGAUCAGCAACGCUGCGGUGAAUACGUUCCCGGGGCU